CAAUAGCGUAUAUUAAAGUUGUUGCAGUUAAAAAGCUCGUAGUUGGAUUUGUGGCGUACGGUGUGUUCCGGGCACUUGUUGUCUGAGUAACCUGUUGUUGCCAUCCUUGGGUGGAACCUGUGUGGCAUUAGGUUGUCGUGCAGGGGAUGCCCAUCAUUUACUGUGAAAAAAUUAGAGUGUUCAAAGCAGGCUUAUGCCGUUGAAUAUAUUAGCAUGGAAUAAUGAGAUAGGACUUUUUUGCUAUUUUGUUGGUUUGCGCAAAGAGGUAAUGAUUAAUAGGGACAGUUGGGGGUAUUCGUAUUCCAUUGUCAGAGGUGAAAUUCUUGGAUUUUUGGAAGACGAACUACUGCGAAAGCAUUUACCAAGGAUGUUUUCAUUAA
rnacentral:rRNA from 1 species